AAGUGAGAAGCGACUAAUUUUGCAUUCAGUUUCGACCUGACUCUAGAUAUUCAUUUAUCCUUACUUU
rnacentral:tRNA from 1 species